rnacentral:sRNA from 1 species
CGCGGCGGAGACGAUGCCUGAGAUCAGAGUCACGCCCUUGGGGGCCGGCCAGGACGUGGGCCGAAGCUGCAUCCUGGUCUCCAUUGCGGGCAAGAAUGUCAUGCUGGACUGUGGAAUGCACAUGGGCUUCAAUGACGACGUGAGUCCCUUGGGCAGGAGGCCCAGAGGCUGGGAGAGCCGGCCAUCCACAGUUGGACCCUGGGCCUCAGAGCCGGGACAGUGGGGUGGUGGGCAGCAGUGGUUGUGCUUGGACGGCUGCACCCUGUGGGGAGCAGGGAUGGGUGGGCCUGGCCGAGGUGAGCCCCUGCAUGGUGAGGUCCCCCUAUGCUGGCGCUGAGCCCCAGCCCCAGGGUCCUGUAGGCUGGGCUCCGUGAGACCCUGGGCUCAGCUUCCAGCUCACAUCUGUCAGUGAGGUUGGGGGUAACCUCGGCCCCUCCGGAUGCUGUGAGCAGCCAGGGGUCCUGGUGCCACCUGCGGGAUGGGAGUGCCCAGCCUGAGUCUGCACAUAGAACCCCCCUUCCUGGGGGCCCCUCCCUGGGGCAUGGGUGGCCCCAGAUGCUGCCUGGAGACCACUGUGCAACCUGAAACCCCCACAUCCUUCCUAGCGACGCUUCCCUGACUUCUCCUACAUCACCCAGAACGGCCGCCUAACAGACUUCCUGGACUGCGUGAUCAUUAGGCCAUCUGCCCCAUCUUGCUGGAGGACUACCGCAAGAUCGCCGUAGACAAGAAGGGCGAGGCCAACUUCUUCACCUCCCAGAUGAUCAAAGACUGCAUGAAGAAGGUGGUGGCUGUCCACCUCCACCAGACGGUCCAGGUAGAUGAUGAGCUGGAGAUCAAGGCCUACUAUGCAGGCCACGUGCUGGGGGCAGCCAUGUUCCAGAUUAAAGUGGGCUCAGAGUCUGUGGUCUACACGGGUGAUUAUAACAUGACCCCAGACCGACACUUAGGAGCUGCCUGGAUUGACAAGUGCCGCCCCAACCUGCUCAUCACAGAGUCCACGUACGCCACGACCAUCCGUGACUCCAAGCGCUGCCGGGAGCGAGACUUCCUGAAGAAAGUCCACGAGACCGUGGAGCGUGGUGGGAAGGUGCUGAUACCUGUGUUCGCGCUGGGCCGCGCCCAGGAGCUCUGCAUCCUCCUGGAGACCUUCUGGGAGCGCAUGAACCUGAAGGUGCCCAUCUACUUCUCCACGGGGCUGACCGAGAAGGCCAACCACUACUACAAGCUGUUCAUCCCCUGGACCAACCAGAAGAUCCGCAAGACUUUCGUGCAGAGGAACAUGUUUGAGUUCAAGCACAUCAAGGCCUUCGACCGGGCUUUUGCUGACAACCCAGGACCGAUGGUUGUGUUUGCCACGCCAGGAAUGCUGCACGCUGGGCAGUCCCUGCAGAUCUUCCGGAAAUGGGCCGGAAACGAAAAGAACAUG